GAAAAAUUGUCAUUUACCAAGAUGCAAAAAUUUUAAUCUUGCCUUCUUUGCAUUCUUAUCUUGCAAACAGAUUACAAUCAGUUGUGAAAAGAAUAUUUCCACUCUGAUGAUUUUGAAGUCCCAAGGGAAACUAACACAGUGCUCAGACCAAGUACAGCCCUACCAUCACCAAUAGAUGUAGGGUAAGAGAUGCUGACUUGUCGGGAAGAUUAUGUACAAUAAAAAGGACAUCUGCAAUGAACUGUAGUGAGGCUCCUACCUACAUUGUAUAGCUUCCAUUCACUGGUAACAUUCCUCAGAGGUGCUGGAGGCAUUAGGAUAACAUCUGAAAGCAAGAGAAAAACAAACCAACUAACCGUCUAACCAUGAAAAGAGCACAGAGUCUUCUGGAAUGAGACACACCCACAAGAUAGAUGUACUUAUACACUUCUGUUAAAGAAGGCAAGCAAGCCCUUUUGGAAUUAAUAAGCAUUAGCAAUAUCUCACGGUGGGAGAAAGAAGCCCAGCUGUCAACUUUUCAGUGGGAUAUCUACAGUUCAGAGCACAUCAGUCCACAGUCAGUGCGCAUUUUCUAAAGAAAUUUCAUCUGCAUAGCCUGUUGCUGACCAUAGAAAGCUCUUCCAUGGAUAUUGCUGUCAAGGAGCUGCUCUAAUUAUCCCCCCCUGCACCGAAGCCAACUCACAACAUUGUGCUGGGUAAGUGGAUGGUGAGAUGCAAUGCAGUAUGGCAUGUGACAUAAACAGCAUGUCUUAUGCAACGUGUAACUUCACAGAAAUGUGAUUACUUGAUCUGGCCAGAUCUGAGUUUGAUUCAUAACCAAAAAGUAAUCCAGCAUCAUUCACAUCCUGUAGUAAUGAUA
rnacentral:lncRNA from 1 species